rnacentral:rRNA from 1 species
AUUGAACGCUGGCGGCAGGCUUAACACAUGCAAGUCGAGCGAGCGGCGGACGGGUGAGUAAUGUCUGGGAAACUGCCUGAUGGAGGGGGAUAACUACUGGAAACGGUAGCUAAUACCGCAUACCAUCAGAUGUGCCCAGAUGGGAUUAGCUAGUAGGUGGUGUAAUGGCUCACCGAGGCGACGAGCCCUAGCUGGUCUGCGAGGAUGACCAGCUACAUGUGAACGGAGACACGGUCCAGACUCCUACGGGAGGAAGCAGUGGGGAGUAUUGCACAAUGGGGGCAAGCCUGAUGCAGCCCUGCCGCGUGUGUGAAGAAGGCCUUCGGGUUGUAAAGCACUUUCAGCGGGGAGGCGUUACUCGCAGAAGAAGCACCGGCUAACUCCGUGCCAGCAGCCGCGGUAAUUC